GGAUCUGUCGCGGCUGGCGGAGCUCCCUCAGCCCACUCGAACGACUUUGUUCCAGAGGCUCCAAGAAACUCUGAGGGACAGAGCAAGUCUCUCUGAGCUGGAGUAUAAGCUGGAGGAGCGGCGACGAGGUGAGGUGCCCGUCAGUCAGGACAUCGCAGUGUCAGCCAUACUGGACCUGCUCAGCCCCGGCCCAAACAAUCACAUUGAGAACGGCGGGCCUGACACAUCUGCCGACCUGAUCGCAGUUCACCUGCUGGUCAGCGCCAUGGAAGCAUUUCCCGAUGAGGCUCUGAGUCUCGUGAGUGAGUGCAGUCCUUCUUUUCUGGAGGCCUUGAACACACUG
rnacentral:lncRNA from 1 species